AGUGAACGCUGGCGGUAGGCCUAACACAUGCAAGUCGAACGGCAGCACAGUAAGAGCUUGCUCUUACGGGUGGCGAGUGGCGGACGGGUGAGGAAUACAUCGGAAUCUACUUUUUCGUGGGGGAUAACGUAGGGAAACUUACGCUAAUACCGCAUACGACCUACGGGUGAAAGCAGGGGAUCUUCGGACCUUGCGCGAUUGAAUGAGCCGAUGUCGGAUUAGCUAGUUGGCGGGGUAAAGGCCCACCAAGGCGACGAUCCGUAGCUGGUCUGAGAGGAUGAUCAGCCGCACUGGAACUGGGACACGGUCCAGACUCCUACGGGAGGCGGCAGUGGGGAAUAUUGGGCAGUGGGCGCAAGCCUGAUCCAGCCAUACCGCGUGGGUGAAGAAGGCCUUCGGGUUGUAAAGCCCUUUUGUUGGGAAAGAAAAGCAGCAGGUUAAUACCCCGCUGUUCUGACGGUACCCAAAGAAUAAGCACCGGCUAACUUCGUG
rnacentral:rRNA from 1 species